GAUGAAGAACGUAGCGAAAUGCGAUAAGUAAUGUGAAUUGCAGAAUUCAGUGAAUCAUUGAAUCUUUGAACGCACAUUGCGCCCCCUGGUAUUCCGGGGGGCAUGCCUGUUCGAGCGUCAUUUCACCACUCAAGCCUCGCUUGGUAUUGGGCAACGCGGUCCGCCGCGUGCCUCAAAUCGACCGGCUGGGUCUUCUGUCCCCUAAGCGUUGUGGAAACUAUUCGCUAAAGGGUGUUCGGGAGGCUACGCCGUAAAACAACCCCAUUUCUAAGGUUGACCUCGGAUCAGGUAGGGAUACCCGCUGAACUUAAGCAUAUCAAUAAGCGGAGGA
rnacentral:misc_RNA from 1 species